GACGAACGCUGGCGGCGUGCCUAAUACAUGCAAGUAGAACGCUGAAGGAGGAGCUUGCUCUUCUGGAUGAGUUGCGAACGGGUGAGUAACGCGUAGGUAACCUGCCUGGUAGCGGGGGAUAACUAUUGGAAACGAUAGCUAAUACCGCAUAAGAGUAGAUGUUGCAUGACAUUUACUUAAAAGGUGCAAUUGCAUCACUACCAGAUGGACCUGCGUUGUAUUAGCUAGUUGGUGGGGUAACGGCUUACCGAGGCGACGAUACAUAGCCGACCUGAGAGGGUGAUCGGCCACACUGGGACUGAGACACGGCCCAGACUCCUACGGGAGGCAGCAGUAGGGAAUCUUCGGCAAUGGACGGAAGUCUGACCGAGCAACGCCGCGUGAGUGAAGAAGGGUUUCGGAUCGUAAAGCUCUGUUGUAAGAGAAGAACGAGUGUGAGAGUGGAAAGUUCACACUGUGACGGUAGCUUACCAGAAAGGGACGGCUAACUACGUG
rnacentral:rRNA from 1 species